GAUGAACGCUGGCGGCGUGCCUAACACAUGCAAGUCGAACGAGAUGCGUAUUGGAAAGCUUCGGCCGGAAGAUGCGUUAUCUAGUGGCGGACGGGUGAGUAACACGUUGGUAACCUGCCUUAUGGAGGGGGAUAACAGAGAGAAAUCACUGCUAAUACCGCAUAAGCACACAUUGCCGCAUGGCAGAGUGUGAAAAGAUUUAUCGCCAUAAGAUGGACCCGCUUCUGAUUAGCCAGUUGGCAGGGUAAAAGCCUACCAAAGCAACGAUAAGUAGCCGAUCUGAGAGGAUGACCGGCGACAUUGGGACUGAGACACGGACCAAUCUCCUACGGGAGGCAGCAGUGGGGAAUAUUGCACAAUGGGGGAAACCCUGAUGCAGCGACGCCGCGUGAGUGAAGAAGUAUUUCGGUAUGUAAAGCUCUAUCAGCAGGGAAGAUAAUGACAGUACCUGACUAAGAAGCACCGGCUAACUACGUG
rnacentral:rRNA from 1 species